GAAAUGCGAUAAGUAGUGUGAAUUGCAGAUUUCAGUGAAUCAUCGAAUCUUUGAACGCACAUUGCGCCCCUUGGUAUUCCAUGGGGCAUGCCUGUUCGAGCGUCAUUUGUACCCUCAAGCUCUGCUUGGUGUUGGGUGUUUGUCCCCGUCUCCGCGCGUGGACUCGCCCCAAAGUGAUUGGCAGCCGGCGUACUGGUCCCGGAGCGCAGCACAUGUCGCGCAAACGAGUGCCUUGGUACGGCGGCGUCCAUAAGCCCCUCUCUCACGCUCUUGACCUCGGAUCAGGUAGGGAUACCCGCUGAACUUAAGC
rnacentral:misc_RNA from 1 species